AGAGGGCAGCAACCGACUUGUGCGAAAGGAGGGAACGUGUGGGUCUGCCAGGGUCCUGCAGGGGGGAUGAGACCCUCGCUCCGCUCCGGCGAUCCCUUCGCUCUCCACCCUCGGCCAGCCCCUCCUGUCCUCCAUCAGGCCUCGCUGAGGAUACCUCCUGGGUUCCAAAGCGCGAGUUGAACCUGAGCUUGACAUUCAUUCCGUCUCGUACAAAAGCCAUGCCUGCGGGGAGAGGGAGAAAAUUUCCUACAGGAGCCUCAAGACUGCGUUUCAGGAAGCCCUAGGACCCACUGAUCCUGCAGCUGCGCCUCUCACUCGCCUCAGGUCCUGAGCUGGAACGAUGGAAUCUAGCAGAAGUUGCCUUUCCAGAUUCAAACGGCUUCUAUGUGAGUUCCUGAAUCAUAACUUCUUCCUGUCCAUGUGCCCAGUUCCCAGGCUAGGCUAAGGGUGGAUUCACACAAAAGAAAUUAGUAGAAGAAAGAAUUUUGCUAAAUUUCUUUUCAGAAAGACUUUACUCAUUUAUCAGCAAUAAAUAGUAUCUGUUAUGAGUUAAAUUGUGUCUCCAAAAAGAUAUGCUGGGGUAAUAGCCACUGGGAACUUUGAAUGUAAUCUUAUUUGGAAAUAGGGUCUUUGCUAAUAUUAUCAAAUUAAGAUGAAGUCAUAUCAAAUUAAGUAUGACUGUCCUUAUAAGAGGAGAAGAGACACAGACACAGAGGAAAGACUGCCAUAUGAAGAUGGGGCAAGGAUUGGAGUUACAUUGCUACAAGCCAAGGAAUGCCUGGCACUACCAGAAGCUGGAGGAGACAAGGGAGGAUUAAUGUCCUUUAGGAGCUUCAAAGGAAAUAUGUCCCUCUCAACAACUUGACUUCUAAUGUUGUGAUGGUUAAUACUGAGUGUCAACUUGAUUGGGUUGAAGGAUACAAAGUAUUGAUCCUGGGUGUGUCUGUGCCAAAGGAGAUUAACAUUUGAGUCAGUGGGAUGGAAAGGCAGACGCACCCUUAAUCUGGGUGGGCAAAAUCUAAGCUGCUAGCAUGACUAGAAUAUAAGCAGGCAGAAAAAUGUGAAAAAGAGAGACUGGCCUAGACUCCCAGCCUACGUCUUUAUCCUGUGCUAGAUGCAUCCUGUCCUUGAACAUCAGACUCUUAAGUCCUUCAAUUUUGGAACUCACACUGGCUCUCCUUGCUCCUCAGCCUGCAGACAGCCUAUUGUGGGACCUUGUGAUCAUGUGAGUUAAUACUUAAUGAACUUAAUAAUAAAUUAAUAUUUAUAUAUUAAUACAUAAUGGAAUAUAUAUUCCAUUAGUUCUAUCCCUCUACAGAAUCCUAUUAGAAUGUCAAACUCUUAAAAACAUUGUUUUUUUUUUUUUUUUUUAGAGACGGUCUUGUUCUGUCACCCAGGUUUGAAUGCAGUGGCAUGAUCAUAACUAAAUGCAACCUCAAACUCCCCAGCUCAAGAGAUCCUUCCACUUCAGCCUCCCGAGUAGCUAGGACUACAGUCAUGCGCCACCACAGCCAGCUAAAUUUAUUUUUUUGUAAAGACAGUCUUUCAAUGUUGCCCAGACUGGUCUCAAACUCUUUGUCCCAAGUGACUCUCCUGCCUCGACCUCCCAAAGUGUUGGGAUUACAGGCGUGAGCCACCAUGUUAAAUGAGAAAAUAAAUUUACGCAGUUUUAAGCCAUCCAGCUUGUGAUACGUUGUUAUGGGAGCCCUAGGAAAUUAAUACACCAUUAUUUUCAAAGUGCUGCUAAUUUAUAAGACAACAUUGGUUUUUAAUUGUUCUGAUUUUCAAAAAUAUCUGCUGACUUAAAAUAUGAAGAUUGUAUUCAAGUGUUCUGAUUUUCAUUGAAGUUAAAAAUUUGUCUUAAAUACUAGACAUUUACUUCUAUCAAUUUUCUCACAAUGUUUUUAUACCUUUUUCUCAGUUAUUGUAACAUUAGUGUUCUUUUUAAUCAAUAUAUUAUGAAUGUCACUUUUUAUCCAUCACAUUAAUUACAAAUGUUUUUCUCUAGUUUUUGGUUUCCUAUAACUUACUUCCUAAAUAUAUAAAAUAAACAGAAAUAAUUUUAUGUGUGUAGAAUAUUUUUACUUAAGAAGAAUAGAUUGUCAAAUUA
rnacentral:lncRNA from 1 species